AGCUCCAAUAGCGUAUAUUAAAGUUGUUGCAGUUAAAAAGCUCGUAGUUGGAUUUGUGGUGUGUCCAGUCGGCCUCUUCUCUUUGAGGAGUAGUGCUGUACUGGUCUGCCAUGUUUGGGUGGAAUCUGUGUGGCAUUAGGUUGUCGUGCAGGGGAUGCCCAUCGUUUACUGUGAAAAAAUUAGAGUGUUCAAAGCAGGCUUAUGCCGUUGAAUAUAUUAGCAUGGAAUAAUAAUAUAGGACCUUGGUACUAUUUUGUUGGUUUGCGCACUAAGGUAAUGAUUAAGAGGGACAGUUGGGGGUAUUUGUAUUCCAUUGUCAGAGGUGAAAUUCUUGGAUUUUUGGAAGACAAACUACUGCGAAAGCAUUUACCAAGGAUGUUUUCA
rnacentral:rRNA from 1 species